CCCGCCUCGAGCGUUGGGACCCACCGCAGCCCUCCCGGCCAGGCGUCCCCUGCAGCAUGGUCUGGAACACCAACCUCCGCUGGCGGCUGCCGCUCGCCUGCCUGCUCCUGCAGGCGGCCUUGGUGGUCCUCUUCGGUGUGUUCGUGCGCUACAGCCCCGAUGCCGACGCCCACUGGAUCGAGGAUAAGAGGUCCAGGAACAUUUCCAGCGACGUUGACAACGAAUUCUACUAUCGCUACCCUAGCUUCCAGGAUGUGCACGUGAUGAUCUUCGUGGGUUUCGGCUUCCUCAUGACCUUCCUGCAGCGUUACGGCUACAGUUCCGUGGGCUUCAACUUCCUGCUGGCGGCCUUCGGCAUCCAGUGGGCGCUGCUCAUGCAGGGCUGGUUUCACUCCUUCCAUAACGGCUACAUUCUCGUGGGCGUGGAGAACCUCAUCAAUGCCGACUUCUGUGUGGGCUCCGUCUGUGUGGCCUUUGGGGCACUUCUGGGCAAAGUCAGCCCUAUCCAGCUGCUCAUCAUGACACUCUUUCAAGUGACCCUCUUCUCGGUGAAUGAAUUCAUCCUCCUCAGCCUGCUAAAGGUGAAGGAUGCAGGGGGCUCCAUGACCAUCCACACAUUCGGUGCCUACUUUGGGCUCACAGUGACCUGGAUCCUCUACCGACCCAACCUGUACCGCAGCAAGGAGAGGCAGAGCGCUGUAUACCAAUCGGACCUCUUUGCCAUGAUCGGUACGCUCUUCCUGUGGAUGUACUGGCCCAGCUUCAACUCAGCGGUGUCCAAUCACGGAGACGCCCAGCACCGAGCCGCCAUCAACACCUACUGCUCCUUGGCAGCCUGUGUGCUCACCGCCGUGGCACUGUCCAGCGCCCUGCACAAGAAGGGCAAGCUGGACAUGGUGCACAUCCAGAAUGCCACGCUGGCAGGAGGGGUGGCCGUGGGCACUGCCGCCGAGAUGAUGCUCAUGCCUUACGGCUCCCUCAUCGUUGGCUUCAUCUGUGGCAUCAUCUCCACCCUGGGUUUCGUGUACCUGAUGCCAUUCCUGGAGUCACGCCUACGGAUCCAGGACACGUGCGGCAUCCACAACCUGCACGGCAUUCCCGGCAUCAUAGGUGGCAUUGUGGGGGCUGUGACGGCGGCCUGCGCCAACGUUCACACAUACGGACAGGAAGGGCUUGUCCAUGCCUUUGACUUUGAACCUGGCGAUGCUUACCGGUCCCCAAGCUUGCAGGGCAGUUUCCAGGCUGCUGGCAUCUUCGUGUCCCUGGCCAUGGCUCUGGUGGGCGGCAUCAUUGUGGGGAUGAUUCUGAAACUACCGAUCUGGGGACAACCUGCUGACGAGAACUGCUUUGAUGAUACGGUCUACUGGGAGGUGCCCGAGGAAGAAAAGAAGGAGGUCUUCCAUCCUGAGGACCCUACCCUCAAGCCAGCAGAACCUUAAAGCUCCCAGGGCAGGCGGGAAGCAGGUUGGUGAGCUCCCCAUCGUCAGGGCUUCCUGGAUCCCAGCGAACGCCCCCAAUUCCGCCUUUCAGAGCUCCUGGAACGGGUCAGUGCCGGAAGUCUGCCACUGACCCAGCGGACAGGUAGUGCUGGCUUCACCUGGACUUCAUGUGCAGAGAAACAGCGGGACUCAGGAAAGGCAAAGAAUUGCAGUCACUGGAGAGGGGACAUCUCAGCUGGGGCUGACAACUGAAAGCAGAAGCCACGCAGUCAGAGGGCUGCAGACAUGUCCCAGGGCACCAAGGACAACUGGCGUGGCUUCCUUCUGGACACCAGCCCUACAUCGCGACCCUCUUCUGACUUCUGGGCAAGGGGGGAACCUGUGCAGGGGGAGAACUGGGGCUGGGGGCUACAUCCAAGCCCCCUUGCCUGCAGCCUUGGGAACAGAGGAAGGGGACUCAGGGAGGCCAAAAGCAAAGGUCUCAAACUGAACAGCCUAUGGGCUACGUAUGCCACCCCUCUAACUGUGGCCUCAAAAUACAAAUCUGCGUUUUUCAAUUGGCAAAUUUCACCUUUAAAAAAUGUUUUCUCUUGAGGACCUGGCAACACUGGACUACGGCAGACCAUUGCACACUCCCCUGUCCUGGGGGGUCCCUCCUCCUUGAACCUGGAUACCUCCUUACAGUUACCUGCCCAGCCUCUGAUAGAGCAGAGAGAGUCUCUGAGCAGGAGAAAGGCCUUAGCUUUCACAUCCAUAUAAUGGGUCGUUACGUGAGUCCAGCGUUAAGAUUGAUCUUUUUGAGCAUCUGACGAAAGACAUGGACCCUCUCCCUAGAGAAAAGGACCUAUGUACAGAUUUGCACAGAAUUUGAGAGGUUCACAUGUCCGUCCCCCUGGGAGCCAUGGACCCCAGGCUAAGAACCCCCUCUGGGCGCUAAGGUCCCUUCUUCCUCUCCCUCAGCUGAGUCCAGGCUCAGGUGGACCCACCAGCUCAGGCCUGACUGCCCGGGCCACCCCUUCUCUCAGUAAAACAGAAGAAACUCUCCCCAUCCUUAGAGGCUGCCGGGGCCAGGCUGGCAGCCGCCCAUCGCCCAUGGAUAUGCAGGAGGGGUCCCCGGGCUGGUGCUGGAUUAGCAUAAAGCCCUCGGGAUGUGAAGGCCCACCGGGAGGCCUGUGUGUGCAGCGCCUGCCUUUGUCCCAGGCCCAGGACCGGUAGGACGGCCCAGGCGGCUCAUACACUUUUGACUGCCAGAUGAAAGGGGGCCACAUAAAGAGGCUGCCUGGGCCGAGCAUGGGGGCGCUUUGUGUCCCUCCAGACGGAGUUACAGACGUCUGUGAAACGUCAAUUACAGCUGAAUAAAGACGUCUGCUCCGUCCAGACGCGCCUCCUUUCAGCUGGGGAGGUGUUUCCAGGCCAGGCCUGGGAUGCCUUUGGGAACCUAAUUUGGCGAUUGUGACUCUGGAAGCGGCCCUGGCAUUCAUCAGUCCGGGGAGGAUGGGAACAGGCUGAGCUGGCCUGACCCAGCCCUGGGGGGUGUCCUGGAAUGCGGGGUGGGGGGAGAAAGGAGCAGCUCAUCCUCCAGGCCAGGCCAAGCCUUGGGGAGGGGACGGGCAGCGGGGCAAUCUGGGAGCCACACAAUCCCCCUGUAUCAGUCAGGCCUCCUUCCCAGGCCUUCGUCAGUGCCAGGCUGGCCCAGUGCCUCUGCAGCUACUGGCUUGGAUCAGGGUUCACUUCCUCCUGAUGGGCUCUUGCCUGAGAUUCAAGUCCCGGGACCACCAGAGAUGCCUGCUGCACUGAUGUCCCUGAGCCACCGGGCCAACCUGGGGACCACCACCCUUCAGCCCUCCUGCUGUGUGAAAUGAAUAAGGCUGCAUUUCUUUAAGCCCUUGUCCCAUCCAUCAGGCUGCUGGUUACUUGCAGCCAGAAACAAUCCUACCUGACAGAGCAGGACGACUCGGGGCUUAUAUUCCUAGUUUUGUACUUUCAGAGUGGGAGAAGAGACUGUGCCACUGACAGCCACCUUGAGGGGAGGUGAGGACCUGGGACAGAGCACUGAUUCCGGGCACAGUGAGCUGAGCUGCCCCUUCCGGGCAGGCGGUUACCCCGGCGGUGGCCUUGCCCCGAGAGACCUGAUUCUUGGGGGGUCUUGGGCAGUACAGGUAUUUCCUGAGGACCCCCAAGCUCCCUGGGACAUCUGUCCUGAAACGUGUCCAGCAGGACCAGGCGACGGACCCUUUGGGCUACAGAGCAUGUGUCACACUCUGAGCAAAAGCCAACGGGCCGCCUUUUACAGGGUAGAGAGCAGAACCCGCUCUAAUAACGAGUGACCUUGCUGCUUACUGAGCACCUACUGUGUACCUGGGUGGACCCCCUCAGAGCUCAGAGGCGGUCCCCUCAGUGGCACAGGGAAGAGCACGGCCACUAGGCCAGCCUGCCAGAUGUGAUCCUGGGGCUGCCGCUUCCCAGGUAGGGGACCUGAGCAAGCAAGCUGACUGCUCUGUGCCUCCUCCGUGUGCAUACCUGCCAGUGUUACCGACACAUUCUAGGACCGACCCUGGCACACCGUGAGCAGGCAGCAGGCUGGGUUUUGAGUCCAGGGGGGGGUCUGUCGCCUGAGCUCACAUACUCUCGGCUUCUCUUAGUCCCAAGGGAUGUGGGCCCUUGUUCCCCAGUUGGGUCUAAACUCAUGGAAGGUGUUGGCUCAGGACAGGUGAGCCCAGUUCCCUCUCUCCCUGUCUCCCACUCACCACUCCUCAGUCCGUUCCUAAUGGCGGUCAAGGUAUCCGUGACCUGCGGACGGGCCCACGCAAGGCCUGUGUGCAUGUGUGUGCGCCCCAGACACAUACGGUUGCGGCCAGGGCCUUGAACCACUGUGACGCUCUGAAGGUGUGACGAGGUGGCCCACAGCGACGCCUGGAUUACGGGGUGAGUCCCAACAUGAGACUGGCCAAGUAAGAAGCAGCCAAGGAAGCUGGAAUAUCCCUGAGGAAGGAAAGGGGACUGCAGUCUGCACCGGACACCCCUGCAGACAGGCCGUAAGUGGUGCCGUCUCGUGGGCACCUCCCAUAAGAGUGGGUCCCCACUGGGGGGGGGGUGCCCUUGAGAGAACUGGGACCAGCUGAUGGGGUGGUGACAUUGUAUGAGCCUGUACGUAAGCAUGUACCAUAUCAACGGAGGCAUCUAAGAUCAUUCGUAUUUCAUUCUUUUGGCUAGCUAAUACUUUCACCUGGUAUAAAAAUAAAAAGGUUUCUAGCAA